UAGCAUAUCAAUAAGCGGAGGAAAAGAAACCAACAGGGAUUGCCCCCAGUAACGGCGAGUGAAGCGGCAACAGCUCAAAUUUGAAAUCUGGCCCCUAGGGCCCGAGUUGUAAUUUGCAGAGGAUGCUUUUGGCAAGGCGCCGCCCCGAGUUCCCUGGAACGGGACGCCGCAGAGGGUGAGAGCCCCGUCUGGCUGGACGCCGAGCCUUUGUAAAGCUCCUUCGACGAGUCGAGUAGUUUGGGAAUGCUGCUCUAAAUGGGAGGUAUAUGUCUUCUAAAGCUAAAUAUUGGCCAGAGACCGAUAGCGCACAAGUAGAGUGAUCGAAAGAUGAAAAGCACUUUGAAAAGAGGGUUAAACAGUACGUGAAAUUGUUGAAAGGGAAGCGCUCAUGACCAGACUUGGGCUUGGCGGAUCAUCCGGCGUUCUCGCCGGUGCACUUCGCCUCGCCCAGGCCAGCAUCAGUUCGCCCCGGGGGACAAAAGCUUCGGGAAUGUGGCUCCUCCGGGAGUGUUAUAGCCCGUUGCACAAUACCCUGGGGCGGACUGAGGUUCGCGCGUCCGCAAGGAUGCUGGCGUAAUGGUCAUCAGCGACCCGUCUUGAAACACGGACCAAGGAGUCGUCCUCGUAUGCGAGUGUUCGGGUGUCAAACCCCUACGCGUAAUGAAAGUGAACGCAGGUGAGAGCUUCGGCGCAUCAUCGACCGAUCCUGAUGUUCUCGGAUGGAUUUGAGUAAGAGCAUACGGGGCCGGACCCGAAAGAAGGUGAACUAUGCCUGUAUAGGGUGAAGCCAGAGGAAACACUGGUGGAGGCUCGCAGCGGUUCUGACGUGCAAAUCGAUCGUCAAAUAUGGGCAUGGGGCGAAAGACUAAUCGA
rnacentral:rRNA from 1 species